UACGAACCGUCCAAACGUUAUUCGGAAUCAUUGGGCUUAAAGGGUAUGUAGGCGGCGCUGUUAGUCGGGUGUGAAAUCCCUCGGCUCAACCGAGGAAUUGCGCCCGAUACUGCAGUGCUUGAGGGAGACAGAGGUAAGCGGAACUGAUGGUGGAGCGGUGAAAUGCGUUGAUAUCAUCAGGAACACCGGUGGCGAAAGCGGCUUACUGGGUCUCUUCUGACGCUGAGAUACGAAAGCUAGGGGAGCGAAGGGG
rnacentral:rRNA from 1 species